GUCCUCUGUACUGUGGAAAUUUCAGUGUGAAAAUGCAACGAUGGACUGAAAACCUACCAAGGGUGGUCUCUAUUACCAGAUGUACUGGUACAGACAGUUGUCAGUUGUUGACAGUUGUUUUCUUCUUCUGUCUUGUUCUGUUUUCUUCUGUCAUUAGAUGUCAGCAUCAGACCUUUAUGUUAAGAGGAGGAUCCUCUAUGACACCACCUACCUAAGGAUUAAAUGUCUUCACCAAUGCUGUUUGAGGACUGACGCUCAGAAAGAAGCUGGAAAUAUGAAGUAUAGCUGCUGAUGCAUGAAGGGAAAUAUUAAACUUUAUCAGCCCAAACAAUCUGGCCUUGAAUUAUUUAAUGCAACCAAAGAUUUAAACAACAGAAAAUGAUCUUUUUUCUUUGCAUUGCUUUCACCAACAUUCUGGUUUCAGGUUCUUCUCUCAGUGACAAAGUCCAACAGAAACCAGCAGAAAUGUAUAAAACACUUGAAGGAAAAGCCAAGAUUAAUUGUUCCCAUAAUGUAGAUAACUACGACCAAAUUCUCUGGUACAAGCAAACAAAAACAGACCUACAGCUCCUUGGAUACUGUUAUGCAGGCUCUGGAAGCAUAGAGAAAGGGAUGGCAGCAUCAGACCUUUAUGUGAAGAGGAGGAUCCUCUAUGACACCACCCAUCUAAGGAUCACGUCUGUUCAUCAUUGCUGAUUGAGGACCGACUCAGAAAGAAGUUGGAAAUGAUUAAACUCCUUGUGCAAUAAGUGAAAAUAUUGAAUUAUUCUGAUUCUAUUCUAUCUUUUCUGAUUAUUUUUAAUACAUUAAAACUUUUAGAGAGCAGAAAAUGAUCAUCUUUUUUCUUUGCAUUGCUUUUAACAUCCUGAUGGUUUCAGGUGCUUCAUACAGUGACGAAAUCCAACAGGAACCAGCAGAAACGUACAAAACAGUUAAAGAAGAUGCCACAAUUACCUGCUCACAUCAUAUUGAUAGCUACAACCGAAUUUCCUGGUACAAGCAAACAAAUGGAGACCUGCAGCUCCUUGGAUACUUGUAUGCAGGCGGUGGAGUUUCAGAGAAAGGGGUAAAUGUGAAGAUCGAAGGAGCUGCAAAAAAAGGCGACACCUGCUCAUUAACGAUUGAAGGACUCAAUCUGAGCAGCAGUGCAGUUUACUUCUGUGCUGCU